UACGAGGGGGGCAAGCGUUUGUUCGGAAUUAUUGGGCGUAAAGGGCGCGUAGGCGGUGUCGCAAGUCCGUGGUGAAAUCUCUAGGCUCAACUUAGAGACUGCCGCGGAAACUGCGGUGCUUUGAGUGUGGGAGAGGUGCGUGGAAUUCCCGGUGUAGCGGUGAAAUGCGUAGAUAUCGGGGAGGAACACCUGUGGCGAAAAGCGGCGCACUG
rnacentral:rRNA from 1 species